GAGGAAUGUAAAGCUUCACGAUAUUAUUGCAGAUGUGGAUUUGCUCAUCGGCACUGAUGCAGCAAAAGUGAUGGAACCCAGGGAGCUGAUCAACAGCCAAGGCGAAGGACCAUACGCAGUCCGAACAAGAGUCAGCCGGGUCAUUAAUGGACCAGUUCGUGGUGGAGAUAUCAACCAAGGGAAGACUGGCUGCUCUGUUGUUACAACAAAGAAACGUGUCUCUGAGGCACGCCUCGAAAAAAUGCUCAUUAAACAAUACAACCAAGACUUUAAUGAGAACGUAUCAGAGGAGCAGUUGGAGUUGUCAAGAGGAGACAUUACAUUUAUGGGGAUUAUAAAAAGUUCAACAGAAAUGAAAAAUGGUCAUUACUGCAUAGACUUACCCUUCAGAGAAGAAGACCCUGUGCUACCAAAUAAUCGCUCUGUGGCGGAACUGCGGCUACAGGGUUUGAAGAGGAAUUUUGAAAAAAAUCAACAGUUUAAGCAGGAGUACACCGCAUUUCUGAAUGAUAUGUUGGACCAAGGCUAUGCAGAAGUAGUAUCCACGGAUCAUUUGGAAGAGGAUGAUGGAAAAGUGUGGUUCAUCCCUCAUCACGGAGUACAUCACCCCACCAAAGGAAAGAUAAGGAUCAUGUUUGACUGUGGAGCCACAUAGAAAGGAACAUCCCUGAAUUGCUAGCUUCUGCAGGGUCCGGAUCUCCCCAACUCUCUUGUAGGGGUCCUCAUUUGUUUCAGGAAAGAACUUGUGGCAGUCAUGGCUGAUAUCCGUGCAAUGUUUUAUCAGGUACAGGGGCCUGAUAAACAUGUGAACUUCCUCUGCUUCCUUUGGUGGCAUCACUGAUCUAGAGCCAGUGGAACAUCGGAUGAGAGUACACCUGUUUAGAGCAGUAUCGCCCCAAGUUGUGCCAACUAUGCCUUGAGGAGAGCUGCUGAGGACAAUGCAUCUGAUUUUCCUCCUGAAGUGAUAAGCACAGUCAACUACAGCUUCUACGUAGAUGACUGCCUGAAGUCCACAGCCACGGAGAAAGAUGCAAUACAUAUUGUGAAAGACUUGACAGCACUCUGUAACAAAGGUGGAUUCAGCCUCCAAAAAUGGGAGACAAAGAGCCGUUCUGUGUUGACGUCAAUCCCAGGUGACAUCAGAUCAACAGAUGUAAGAGCACUGGGAUUGCAAUGGUGUGUGGAAUCUAACCAGUUCAGCUUCAGGACUGCAUUACGGGAACGUCCACAGACCAGGAGAGGCAUUUUGUCUGUGGUCAGCUCCCUAUAUGAUCCAUUAGGAUUCUUACAACUGUUCUGAAGUACAUCUGUAAUGAAACUAGGCGCUUUCAUACCUUUGUUAUCAGAGAAGCCACCAACGGGGACCAGUGGAAGUAUGUAAACACCAAGGUCAACCCUGCAGAUAAAGCAUCUCGUUGAAUGAGAGCUGAGGAAUUCCUUACAAGAUCACGAUGGAUUAAAGGCCCAGAGUUCCUCUACUUGCCAGAAAUGGAGUGGCCUGUAGCGGACAUGGAUCCAGCUGUGAUUCCUGCUGAUGACCCCAAGGUCAAAAGAGAAAAAAAAGUGAAUACCAUUGUCAAAUAUGCCGAUAAUGCCACACACCACUUCAUCAACUACUUCUCAUCAUGGAGGAAGCUUAAAGUGGCUGUUGCCUGGUUCCUUCAGCUUAAAAGAGUUCUAUCGCUUCUGAGCCAAAAGAGGAAAGAACUCAAAGCCGCUGAGAGCGAUGAGGACGCCAGAGUUAAAUGUUCUGUGGAACAGAAACUUCAGAGUUCUAAAGCCACUCUUGUAGGAAAAAACUUGACUCCACAAGAUUAUGAUGAAGCAGAAAAGGCAAUCAUUUGUUUUGUUCAGAAACAAAGGUUUGCAAGUGAAAUCGCCUCAUUGAAAGGCGACUCAAACGUAUUGUGUGUAGACGCCACAGAGGAAAACUUGGCAGACUUACCUGAAGAGAGGGUUAUGCCAGACAAGACCGCUUUCACAAACGUGGGAGUUGAUUUUUUGGCCCAAUCGCAGUCAAAAGAGGAAGAAGCCUUUUAAAAAGUUAUUGAGUGCUCUUCACCUGCUUGACCAGUCAUCCGGUGCACCUUGAAGUGGCAGACUCCAUUGACACACACUCUUGCAUUAAUAACAUACAGUGAUUAAUUUGCAGAAGAGGCCCUGUGUCGAGUUUGAGAUCCGACAACGGCACAAAUUUCGUGGGUGCGAACAAAAUAUUAAAACAAAGCCUUGUAGAGCUGAACAAUGUGAAAAUCCAAGAUGGAAUUAAGUGGAGCUUUAACACACCAGCUGCUUCACAUCAAGGUGGUGUUUGGGAACAUCUGAUUCGCUCAGUACGAAGCAUGCUCACCUCAGUUCUUGGACAGCAGGUAUUGAACGAUGGGGGCCUGCAGAUGCUGUUUUGUGAGGUAGAGGCAAUACUAAAUGACAGACCCAUCGCAAAGGUUUCGGAUGACCCCAAUGACCUUGAAGCCUUAACAUCAAACCAUAUUCUUCUGCCGAUCUUUCCACCAGGACUCUUUAAGCAGAGUGACCGCUACAUCCGAAGAUGUCGACUUUGUCUGAUACGACAAAGUCCCGAUUCUAUCCGAGGAGGGCAGAAAAGAUUGAACACAGCCUCCACUGCUGUGCUUUCCCUUGUGAAUGAAGCUCAAUAUCUCCUGAUCAACCAGGCCAGCGUGGACCUCAUCCAGGAACAGAUUCGAAGCAGACAGGAAUCCUCGGAAGACGGCCAGCCUCUCGAGAGACAGGAUCUCAUCAGCCGCUUUCGAGCCAAUUUGGUUGCCGCUGGAGUGGAGCCAUUCGAAGAGGGUUCUUGGUCACAGCUGAUCAUCGGAAACGCUCAAUUUCUUGUUGGAGGUCGAUGUGGAAGGUGCCAGAUGAUCUGCGUGGAUCAGGACACUGGGGCUAAGAGCAAGGCUCCUCUUCUGGCUCUCUCAGCCUGCCGCUCGGGGAA